AAUAAGUUUAUUUUUCAGUUUUUAGAUAUAAUGUUUUAACUUUUCGUCUUAUUUGAAAUUUUUUUGCGAUUAAUAUUUUUAUUGUUACUACAUGAUAAAACAUGAAUGGUAAUUUAUACGUGACUAAUUUUUUUAAAAUUUUUAUAUAAAUUUUUUAAAUAAGACAAAUGCUCAAAAGUACAAGAACCAAAAAAUGAACGGACGCAUUUGAA
rnacentral:pre_miRNA from 1 species